rnacentral:sRNA from 1 species
GGGCCAAGUUGAACCUGUCCAGCCCCCGUUGGCCUUGGGUCAAAAGUGCCGCUCAAAAUGGAAGUGAAUCCCCCUAAACAGGAGCACCUGCUGGCGCUAAAAGUGAUGCGGCUGACUAAGCCUACUUUAUUCACCAAUAUCCCAGUAACAUGUGAAGAGAAAGACUUACCUGGAGAUCUCUUUAACCAGCUGAUGAGAGAUGAUCCUUCAACUGUUAAUGGUGCAGAAGUUUUAAUGUUGGGAGAAAUGCUGACUUUACCACAAAAUUUUGGGAAUAUAUUUUUGGGAGAGACCUUUUCCAGUUAUAUCAGCGUUCAUAAUGAUAGCAAUCAAGUUGUAAAAGACAUAUUGGUAAAAGCUGAUCUUCAGACAAGUUCUCAGCGUUUAAAUCUUUCAGCCUCCAAUGCUGCAGUGGCUGAACUUAAACCGGAUUGUUGUAUUGAUGAUGUCAUACAUCAUGAAGUCAAAGAAAUUGGAACACACAUCUUGGUAUGUGCUGUGAGUUAUACAACUCAGGCUGGAGAAAAAAUGUAUUUUAGAAAAUUCUUCAAAUUUCAGGUUCUCAAACCAUUGGAUGUGAAAACCAAAUUUUACAAUGCAGAGACUGAUGAAGUAUUUCUGGAAGCCCAGAUUCAGAAUAUGACAACCUCACCUAUGUUUAUGGAGAAAGUUUCAUUGGAGCCAUCUAUUAUGUACAAUGUAACAGAAUUAAAUUCAGUCAGCCAAGCUGGAGAAAGUGUGUCUACGUUUGGGUCAAGAGCAUAUUUGCAACCAAUGGAUACACGCCAGUACUUAUACUGCCUAAAGCCAAAGAAGGAAUUUGCAGAAAAAGCAGGCAUAAUUAAGGGAGUAACAGUAAUUGGAAAAUUGGAUAUAGUAUGGAAAACAAAUCUAGGUGAAAGGGGAAGGUUACAGACCAGCCAACUUCAAAGAAUGGUGAGUCUGGAAAAAACUUCACUGGGGUUUUGGUGUGUGAGAGACAGGUAGUUAGAACAACUUAAUUUUUUCUACAUCCAGCAGUAAAAAAUUGGAGCACUAUAAAAGGCAUUAAUACUACUGGAGAAGAAAAGAUUAAUAGUUUCACUGAUAGGUAGGUAGAAGACUGGUGUUGCCGUGAAUGAAAAAUGGUCAAAUGUUAAUUUAUCCUUAAUACAUGUGUUCUUUAUCAAACAGAAAUUAAAAUAACUUUAUCAAGUAUCUCUCCUUUGGUAACACAUGCUCACUCUUCUUCUGACUUCCAAAUACAUUAAGGUUUUCUAUUUUGCAAUGUCCUCAAACUCUUGGACUUACUUCAUUCACCUACUCAGUUCCUACCAUUUUUAAGAUGUUAAAAAUCUGAGGCAUCUCAGAAGGUGAGUUCUACUAAAGUUAUCUUAUAAGCAUUGGUUGCAUAUUUUACCUAAUUUCUUCUCUGAGAGUAGGGAUAGCUACCAGGCUUCUUUUUCUUAUGCUUGUAAGAAUAUAUGACAGGAUUCUCCUCCCUUUAUGCUGAAUAUUACCUGUUUUGACAUAUUCCAAAUUUUACUUUUCUUUCCACUGUUUGAGGCAGUAAUUUAAAAAAAAUGAUGAUGAUGAUUCCUGGGCCCACUUAAGUAUAGCCGUUAGUUAUUUUUCUGCCAUGGCCUGUUCCAAGCCUUCGUAUUGUUAUAAUCCAUCCUCAUCUGUGCAUCUUGUAAAAAGUGAUGAUUUUCUUCCUGGCUCCUUUCAACAUCAUCCCCCUCUUUCUUUAGACAAUAACUUUACCUAUUUAGAGUUACAGACAUAGAAGCUACAGCAUCUGGAAAGUGUCCCUUCAAAUCCCUGAAAUUUCUUUACUGACUACUUACCUGUGAGAUUCAUCUUAACUCUACUGAACAUGGAAUAAUUAUAUAACAAAAACAGUCCAGGUCUGCCGGGCUAUUCCAUACGCAGUAGCUGCUAAAGAACUUAAAAUGAGAGACAAGUAAAGUGAAUCAGAAGUAUUUUCUUAGAACAUCAGCUUGGAAACCCAACAGCUGUUGAGUGAAUGUUUUGCUAUGGUGCCUUCAUUAAAAUGGAAAGGUUUUGUGAUAGAUAUACAUUAACUGUGUUGCUUGUUUUCUUAGGCUCCAGGUUAUGGAGAUGUUAGGUUGUCUUUGGAGGCAAUACCAGAUACUGUAAACCUCGAAGAACCUUUUCAUAUUACCUGUAAAAUAACAAACUGCAGGUAAUGCCACUGUUUGUAGAUGGAUGUCCUUUCUACCUCACCUGCCUAGAAGAUAAUUUUAAAAUCUUUUUGUUACUAUCUCCUUUUAAGUUUUCCUCUUGACAUACAGCCUUCUCUGAUGUUGAUACUGAGUACUGUAAAAUUCUUCAUCUGGUAGCAGUAUAAUUACAUAUUUUUAAGGGCCUAUUGUAUUAUGCAUCUUCUGUAUUUUAUUUCAUUCAUUUGUCACACCCUAUGAGGUAGGUAUUCAUUGUUUAUACUUCCUUCACCAAAACAUGAACUAAUAGGUUCUUAUGUAUUAAUAUAUUAUGAAUUGAAGUAGCAAGAUUUUUUGAGGCAUGCUUGUACUUGAGCUGUAUCUUAAGUAUUAAGAAACCAAACAUUGCUUAUGGAUUUAAUGUAAGGGGAAAUCAUUGAUUCGACAACUGGGUUGUGACAGUAAAGAGAGAGCAUAAUCUGAACUGUCAGGAAGCAAAGAGCACAGGGCUUUGAAACCAGAAAAAAAUAGAAUUAAGUUCCAGUCCUAUGCCCUCUGCUCCUACUUGUAUUACCACUUGGUUUGUAUUAUUAUUUGGGGUAUUUUAAUAAUAUUGCAGUGAUGAAUCCCAGUUCUCUUAGUGUGAAUGUAUAAUCCUUUUAAUUCCAGAUUUAUUCUUUUUGGUAUUAGAAAGAUAGAAAAUAUUUAUCCUUCAAAAUUACAGAAAUACCCACUUCCUCUAUGAAGCUACCCAGACUUUCCAAAGCACACGUAUUCAUGCCUUCUCUAUCAUAGAAAAUUUUAACUUAGUUUUUUAGUGACACUCAUAUAUUGUGUAUUUAGUGACACUCAUAUAUUACUGUAAGUAUUAGUCUCUUUCUCACUGGACUGGAAUUAUUCAAGAGAAGGGACAUGGCCUUACUCAGUGUCUGCCACAUUGUGAGCUCAGUAAACAACAAUACAGGGGAAAGACCCUGUGCUUAUAGGGUGUUACAGGGUGUUGGGGAAUUUUUGUUUUUUUUUUUUUUAAGUUUUUUCAGCAAAUCAGUUUAUUGACCAGCUCACAAGUGUUAUUUUUUUCAAAAGUUAAGUUCUCUUGGUGUUCACUUUAACUUUUGGUUAUUCAAACAAGUUUUCUAAAAAGCAUAUGUCUCUUACAUCUUUAGUUUCCUCUCUAUAUAAAUGUCAUUCCCUGCCCCUACACACCAGGGACAUGCACAGACACAUGCACACAACAUAUAUAAGUUUUACUGGAUUUUUGUGAAAUUAACAAUAUUCAUGUAGUGCAUCUACCCUGGUCUCUGGCACAUAGUAGCCAUCUCAAAUGUUUGUUAGGGAGAUUCAGGCAUAUACAAGUUAAUAUUAUAAAGUCAAUAUGCGUAAAAAAAAUAAAAUUUAAAUAAGCAAUUUAAAAUUUGGAGCCAAGUAUAAGAAUAAACAGCUAAAAGCCAUAAGUAGCCGUGAAUGGUGGUAGGAGACUAUUUUUCAUUAUGAGCCUUUUGGUUAUUUAAAAAAGAACAAUGUGCAUACUUUCAUUAAAAGUUUUUUUAACUUAUUUAAGCUGAAUGGUGAUAUCUGUUAUAAGCAGAAGUAGUCUUUUCUUGGUAAAUAAUCCAGUUAGCAAACCUGACUAGUAUUUACAUCUUAUGAAUCCUGCCAGUUGUUUCCCAAGUUAUGGUAAAGUAACAUAGAUUAGAUAUCAAAAGGACUAGACCAGAAUCAGUUGUUUUCUUCUUUUCCUGUAGAGUACCUAACAGAAAUAGUGAGAAUAUAUGGCAACAAGAUUAGUCACAAAUGUGUGGAAGUCUCCCAGAAAAAUGGCAGCACCAGAUCAGCACCAGGAGGCCAGUGUUGAGUAAUAGAACCAGAAGGCCAACAUCCAGACAGGCAGAUUAGUCUGAGGCCAUUUUAAGUGCUAGAAGGUGUGACUUCCUUUCAUCUUCCUGAUUCUAUCUUAAGUGAUAUAAAAAUGUUAUAAUAGCUUUUCUCUUUCUGGUUUUUAUUCUCCUGGAUGUGGAGAAAACAAGUUUACUGUCAAUAGUAGAAAUAUUGCAGUACCUCUUUGUGAAAUGAACAAGAUUUAUUCCUAUUAUUCUGAUUCCUCCAGCAGUGAAAGGACUAUGGAUCUGGUUUUGGAAAUGUGCAAUACCAAUUCCAUCCACUGGUGUGGAAUUUCAGGAAGACAGCUGGGAAAGCUGCAUCCAAGUUCUUCGCUCUGUCUUGCCCUUACUCUGCUUUCUUCAGUACAGGGACUGCAAAGCAUCUCUGGCUUAAGACUAACAGACACAUUCUUAAAGAGAACAUAUGAAUAUGAUGACAUCGCACAAGUCUGUGUGAUAUCUUCUGCCAUUAAAGUGGAAAGCUGAAGGAAACUUCCAAUGUUAGGCUUUUCAUUUAGUUUCACAGAACUGCUCUUUUUGUCACCUUUGUAAAAUGAUGACGUCAACAACGAAGUAAAUAUGUUACUUAAAUUUUCUUUCCUGUAAAAUGGUUAAAAUAUUAAAUAUUUGUUUUGAAGAGAUCUGAUUUUAUCUUGUAAUUUAUGUUCGAAAUGAACAUGUGUAUAUUUUCUACACCUAUUAUUUAAUUUCAUUUUAGAUGACCAUUGGACUUUGUUCUCCAAAAGCUGUGUAUCUGAGACUAUUUGUCCCUAGCAAGUAUCUAGAACACGAGUCAGCACACUUUUUAUGUAAGGUACAAGAUACUAAAUAUUUUAGGCUUUGCAGGCCGUAAGGUUUCUGUCACAAAUACUGAACUCUGCCAUUGUACUGCAAGAGCAGCCAGUAGGCAAAAAAAGUACAGUGGUGUACACAAAAAGCAGCAGCUGGACUCGGGAAGCUGAGGCAGGAGAACCACUUGAACUCGGGAGGCGGAGGUUGCAGUAAGCCGAGAUCAUGCUACUGCACUCUAGCCUGGGCGACAGAGUGAGACUCUGUCUCAAAAAAAAAGAGACAGCUGGGCAGAUUUGGCCUGCAGGGUAUAGUUGGCUGACCUCAAUCUAGAAGAUAGAGUUGUUUCUCAGAACUUUGUAAUAUUUUGUUUAGAAAUACUUCAGUUAACUCCAGUUUUUCCUAGCUAUUCAGUCAGCAGAAAAAGUUUGCUUAAAACAAAGGGGGUAGUCCUCUUAUAACCUGAUAUUUGUUAACACACUAUAAGCUUUCCAGUUGUUUUCAAAAUUACGGUAAUGGUUUGUGUCUGUAUUUGUAUAUUAUACCUACAAACAUACAUAUCUUUCAGCUACUGAACACAUCAGAAUUGGUUUUACUUUUUAGGUUGUUGAUUUUUUUUAUUAACUAUUAACUAAGAAUAAUACUUAUUUUCUAAUUAUAAGCCAAAAACUCCUGGGUUUUUUUCUCAUUGAUUAAGCCACUUAUUUUUAUAAGGUAUAUUUAAAUAAUUCUCAUCUUCUGAUAUGAUUAUAAACUCUAAAUCAUGUGUUACUGUUACAAAACUUUCUCUCUCCAUGUAAUCACACUUAGUUAUGAGCAAAGCAGUGAGAAAGUUGAGGUGAUAAACAACUUUGCAGCAUUAAUGUAACAAAAAGUUUCAGUGUUUGUCAGGAAAACAAAAGCUUAGGCUGUUAAAUAAAAGCUAUUCUAUUUUGGUAAGUUGAAAUUCAAGAAUGUAUAUAUAAUUUCUUAAAUGUAAGACUGCAUUAAAUCAAAUACAAAAAUUGGUUUUUCAAUGCAUCAUUAUUUAUUGCCAUAACAAAUUGGUCCAGAAUGAAAGCUAUAUUCAGAAGGUUUGCACCUCAAAAUUGAGUAAUAAUUAAUGAAAUGUCUGUACUAAAUAAAGUGCAAGCAGUGUAAAAUUGAA